AUUGAACGCUUGCGUCAGGCCUAACACAUGCAAGUCGAACGAGUGGCGGACGGGUGAGUAAUGUCUGGGAAACUGCCUGAUGGUGGGGGAUAACUACUGGAAACGGUAGCUAAUACCGCAUACCCUCGGAUGUGCCCAGAUGGGAUUGGCUAGUAGGUGGGGUAACGGCUCACCUAGGCGACGAUCCCUAGCUGGUCUGAGAGGAUGACCAGCAACACUGGAACUGAGACACGGUGCAGACGACUACGGGAGGAAGCAGUGGGGAAUAUUGGACAAUGGGCGCAAGGCUGAUGAAGCAAUGCGGCGUGUAUGAAGAAGGCCUUCGGGUUGUAAAGUACUUUCAGCGGGGAGGCGUUACCCGAAGAAGAAGCACCGGCUAACUACGUGCCAGCAGCCGCGGUAAUUC
rnacentral:rRNA from 1 species